CAGGCCUAUAACCACAUGUUCAUAUGUGCCGUGUGUGUGUGUGUGUGUGUCUGCAGGAGCACACACAGAGCCAGAAAUUCAUUUUUCUCUGAUGAUGACUGCAGCUUAGAAAAUGGUCUAAGGAAGAAGGACUAUAAGGCCUGGGAAGAGGAAUAAGAUGACAAUUUGUGUUUACUAGGGACAUGCAGGGAUCUUAGCCUUCUGAUAGUUAAACACAAAACCAACCAACCAACAAACCAAAAACAAGGAGAAGACAGAAAAUGUAAUGUGUAACAGAUUCUGAGCAGCUAAAAGUGGACUGGAAAAAAAUCCUGGCUCUCUGGAUGGAAAAGAGAGGCUGGUGAGAUCACCUUAAGUUAGCAGAGAACUUGACAGGCUCAGUUUUUGCUGAGUCGCUAAGUAGUGUCCCACUCUUUUGUGACCCCAUGGAAUAUAGCCCGCCAGGCUCCUCUGACCAUGAGACUUUCCAAGCAAGACACUGGAGUGGGUUGCCACUUCUUUCUUCACGGAAUCUUCUCGAUCCAGGGGAUCUUUCCGAUUCAGGGAUUGAACCUGCACCUCCUGCAUUGGUAGGUAGAUUUUUUUUUUUUUUUAUCACUGAGCCACAGGGAACCCUGAUAGGCUCAGAGAGGAAGGGAAAUAGGACGGGCGGGCAGUCCAAGGGGGUGAUCCAUUAAGGAAGUACCUUGUGCCCCACAAAAUGGCAGCAUCAGUGUCAGCCCUUCCGAGAGGCCUUGUCAGGGUGGACAGCACUGAAUUCCUCUCUGCUCACUGGGCCUGCUGGAGACAUCUAAUGAAACAGCCCUGUCGGGGGUGGCCCCUGGGUAACAUUUUCACUCCCACAUUCCAUUUUCGGUUUAGGUCGAGAUUUUCAAGAAGACAGCAAGCAGCACUCGAGUCCCAGAUGAAAGCUUACCAAAUAGUCCAAUACAAGAAACAGAUAAACAAGAGCUGGUGAGCUCUGCCAACCCCUUGAAGAGAAAGACAAAGAAUGAACAAAUGAUGCUGUGAUGAUGAAAGAGAAACCAUGGAAGAAAACUCAGGGAAAUUCCUUAAAAAAAUAUGAAAGGUAAUGGAAACCCCUAAGCAGGUCCAAAAAAAAUUGGAGAUCUCUUUCCUCUAUCACCUGGAUUAAAAAGGGAAAGUGAAAGUCACUUGGUCGUAUCUGACUCUUUGUGACCCCAUGGACUGUAUAGUAUUCUCCAGGCCAGAAUACUGGAGUGGGUAGUCGUUCCCUUCUCCAGGGGAUCUUCUCAACCCAGGGACCAAACCCAGCUCUUCCACAUUGCAGGUGGAUUCUUUACCAGCUGAGCCACAAGGGAAGCCCAAGAAUACCGGAGUGGGUAGCCUAUCCCUUCCCGACCCAGGAAACGAACCAAGGUCUCCUGCAUUGCAGGCAGAUUCUUUACCAACUGAGCUAUCAGGAAAGCCGUGGGUUAAAAAACACAACAUAUAUCAAAGA
rnacentral:lncRNA from 1 species